rnacentral:tRNA from 1 species
GGUCAGAUAGCCAAGUGGUUAAGGCAACACACCUAGACUGAGGUCCCUGGUUUGAAUCUGGGUCUAAUCA